CAGUCGCCGCGGUAAUACGUAAGUGGCAAGCGUUGUCCGGAAUUAUUGGGCGUAAAGCGCGCGCAGGUGGUUUAAUAAGUCUGAUGUGAAAGCCCCCGGCUCAACCGGGGAGGGUCAUUGGAAACUGGGAAACUUGAGUGCAGAAGAGGAGAGUGGAAUUCCACGUGUAGCGGUGAAAUGCGUAGAGAUGUGGAGGAACACCAGUGGCGAAGGCGACUCUCUGGUCUGUAACUGACGCUGAGGAGCGAAAGCGUGGGGAGCGAACAGGAUUAGAGACCCCAGUAGUCCCUGUCUCUUAUAC
rnacentral:rRNA from 1 species